UUGAUUUAACAUUUAACAUACUAUCUUCCCCCAAAAUUUAGAAUAUCUGGUCACCUACAUACUUCUCCGCAAGAUGCCUUGCUGGAGGAUUAAAAAGAAAGAAAGGAAGAAAGAAAAAGCUUAAGGAAAAGAUUAGUCCAGAAACUAGACCAUUAAGUUCAGCGGUAACAAAAGGGAAAAAAAUACUUCUAAAAAGAAUGAUGAAUGGAAGAGUAGGAGAAACUCCGCAGUUGUGUGGAGCACCACCAGGAGUAAGGACUUUUUGACAGUGCCACCCAACCCAUCUUAUACCAACUGCUGCAAGCAAAAGAAAAGGAGGGAAGGAAGCAAAUAAAAUACCAGGUACCCGCUCCUGUUGGGCUU